UACGAAGGGGGCUAGCGUUGUUCGGAAUUACUGGGCGUAAAGCGCACGUAGGCGGACUCUUAAGUCGGUGGUGAAAUCCUGGAGCUCAACUCCAGAACUGCCUUCGAUACUGAGAGUCUCGAGUCCGGGAGAGGUGAGUGGAACUGCGAGUGUAGAGGUGAAAUUCGUAGAUAUUCGCAAGAACACCAGUGGCGAAGGCGGCUCACUGGUCCGGUACUGACGCUGAGGUGCGAAAGCGUGGGGAGCAAACAGG
rnacentral:rRNA from 1 species